rnacentral:sRNA from 1 species
GUUUCUAUUUGUUGCGGACAGAUAUAGUGAAUGUGGGUAUCGAUUCCUCCUGCUGUUACGAUAUAUCCUUUUCCACCGUGCACCUCUGUAGAAGCUCCGAUAAUCAUAUCGGGAUCCACUCCGUCCAUUGUAUCCGGGUUUCCUGCUUUCCCUAUUCCUACGAUCUUACCAUCUUUAAUUCCGAUAUCCGCCUUUACAAUUCCCCAAUGGUCAAUAAUCACAGCUCCGGUAAUACAAAGGUCCAAAACCCCUUCAUCUCUUUUACGGGUUACAUUCUGUCCCAUUCCGUCGCGAAC